rnacentral:lncRNA from 7 species
ACAGAAGGUGUGGCCUCAGAUUUCUGCAUGCAUAUUUAACUAUCAAUAAUUACAUGGCCUUCAGGUUAUUAUUAAAGAACAAUCUCCCGGAGAGGAGGACUUACAAGGCUAAAUGAGGCCUAAAACAUUUCUUUGAGUACAGAGCAGAGAAGAAGAGCAGGAAAAGCCCAGGUUACUCACGGUUCUUUUCACCUCUCCACCUUGACCCCGCUCUCAUUCUAGGCGAGAUGUCCACAGCAGCAGUGACUCCUACCAGCCACAGCAGCAGCAGCAGUGACAGCACAGCCAUACCAGAGAAAAGCGCCAUCCAGUGUGCAGACUCCUGCCCUUGCAAGCUACUGCCAGAAGACCAUUCAGACAAAGAUCACACUUCCUUUAUAAGCUGCCUGUACUCACAGUAUGAGGCUAAAUCCAGAAGAAAAAAAAAGGCACAAAAUCAAGUCACACUAUUUCUCAGCUGCACCAGAGCAUCCAUUCCAAUUCUGGGAAAACAUGGAAUACUGAAGAUACCGUAUUUCACUUGGGAUACAUUAUGAAACAUACCUUAUAUGCAGAGAGAUUUUAUAUGUGGAAUACAAUCGUAUGGAAGGAAGAAUGGAAAAGAAUAGUAUGUGAGAAAAGUAUUGGGAAACACUGAAGAAUGGAACUAACAUACAAGUGGAACAGCCAUCUUGAGCAGCAGAAAGCACAAGCAGUAACCUGCUAUUUCUACAAGAAGUUCAACCUACCAUUAUUUGGCACCGUAUGGGUUUUGCAGCAGCAGUGUUUCAUGCUGGGAGUUCUCAAGCUGAUGUCUCAGAGGUCACCCUCAACAAAGAAGUCUUGGUAUGUAAGAAAACUGCCAUACAAGUUCCUGCAUCCGCCAUAUCAGAGCCACAUUCUUUGAGCUCCAACCACCACAGCUUUUCAGAUUACUGUGAUAUUAAAAAUUUGACAUUCAAAUUCAAUCUAUACAGAUCCUCAGUAAACACCUCAAUUUAAAAAAAGGGUGUAUUAUAGAAGGAUUUAUUGAGAUAGAUUCCUCUUCCUAAAAGCAUAAGUUCAAUGCUGUACACACAUACUUUCAAAAAGUCUGUUUUCUUUCCAAAAAAUAAAAAAAUAAAAAAAAAUAAAAAAAAAUUAAACAGCAUCAAGAAGUAUCAACCCCACUCUUCCCCCUAAAAAGCCCAAAACCUAAACACGUAUCAGCACCUGC